rnacentral:rRNA from 1 species
UACGUAGGGUGCAAGCGUUAAUCGGAAUUACUGGGCGUAAAGCGUGCGCAGGCGGUUUUGUAAGUCUGUCGUGAAAUCCCCGGGCUCAACCUGGGAAUUGCGAUGGAGACUGCAAGGCUAGAAUCUGGCAGAGGGGGGUAGAAUUCCACGUGUAGCAGUGAAAUGCGUAGAGAUGUGGAGGAACACCGAUGGCGAAGGCAGCCCCCUGGGUCAAGAUUGACGCUCAUGCACGAAAGGCG